rnacentral:rRNA from 1 species
UACGGAGGGAGCUAGCGUUGUUCGGAAUUACUGGGCGUAAAGCGCGCGUAGGCGGCUUUGUAAGUUAGAGGUGAAAGCCCGGAGCUCAACUCCGGAACUGCCUUUAAAACUGCAUCGCUUGAAUCCAGGAGAGGUGAGUGGAAUUCCGAGUGUAGAGGUGAAAUUCGUAGAUAUUCGGAAGAACACCAGUGGCGAAGGCGGCUCACUGGACCGGUAUUGACGCUGAGGUGCGAAAAGCGUGGGGAGCAAACAGG